GUGCUCUCUUCGGCAGCAAAUACACUAAAAUUGGAACAAUACGAAGAGGAUUAACGUAGCCCUGCGCAAGGGUGACAGGCAAAUUCAUGAAGCGUUCCAUAUUGAA